rnacentral:piRNA from 1 species
UCAGACAUUGUAAGUCCAUUGAAUGAUGAGA